GAUGAACGCUAGCGGCAGGCUUAAUACAUGCAAGUCGAGGGGCAGCGCAGUGUAGCAAUACAUGAGCGGCGACCGGCAAACGGGUGCGGAACACGUACACAACCUUCCUUUCAGCGAGGAAUAGCCCAGAGAAAUUUGGAUUAAUACCUCAUAGUAUAUCGGUCAGGCAUCUGAUUGUUAUUAAAGAUUUAUCACUGAAA
rnacentral:rRNA from 1 species